AAACAGGCUGGUAUUUAAACUUGCCAGUAGCAGAUGGGGGGUGGGGGUGGGGCAGCCUUGGCCCCUCAGAGCACGAACGAUGGAGGCUGGACCCACCUGCCUGCCGAAGCUGGCUGAGCCCCCAAGGCCAGGUUCCCCCACCCUCAGCCUAAAAGGUGGAGAGGGGGGAGCACACGCUAAGGUACCCCACUUCCCCAGCUCCUGAAAUGGUUUCGAAGCAGGAGAGAAGGAGGAAUCCUUUCUCUCCUAGGCUGCAGGGGACCCAUCCUUCCUCACUCAUCAGCGUGCUCCCAAAUGCAGUGACUAUAACUGAAAGGGCUUCCUUUUUCCAAAAAUGAUGGCUAUUUGAAACUCAAAAGGCAGUGAUUGAG
rnacentral:lncRNA from 1 species